rnacentral:rRNA from 1 species
UGGGGAAUUUUGGACAAUGGGCGCAAGCCUGAUCCAGCCAUGCCGCGUGCGGGAAGAAGGCCUUCGGGUUGUAAACCGCUUUUGUCAGGGAAGAAAUCUUCUGAGUUAAUACCUCGGGAGGAUGACGGUACCUGAAGAAUAAGCACCGGCUAACUACGUGCCAGCAGCCGCGGUAAUACGUAGGGUGCAAGCGUUAAUCGGAAUUACUGGGCGUAAAGCGUGCGCAGGCGGUUUUGUAAGACAGAGGUGAAAUCCCCGGGCUCAACCUGGGAACUGCCUUUGUGACUGCAAGGCUUGAGUGCGGCAGAGGGGGGAUGGAAUUCCGCGUGUAGCAGUGAGAUGCGUAGAUAUGCGGAGGAACACCGAUGGCGAAGGCAAUCCCCUGGGCCUGCACUGACGCUCAUGCACGAAAGCGUGGGGAGCAAACAGGAUUAGAUACCCUGGUAGUCCACGCCCUAAACGAUGUCAACUGGUUGUUGGGAAGGUUCCUUCUCAGUAACGU